UUGGAGGGCAAGUCUGGUGCCAGCAGCCGCGGUAAUUCCAGCUCCAAUAGCGUAUAUUAAAGUUGUUGCAGUUAAAAAGCUCGUAGUUGAAUUCCGGGAUCAGUACGCCGGUCGUGCCUCCGGUAUGUACUGGUGUCACUGAUUCCUCCCUUCUGAAGAACCAUCAUGCCAUUCACUUGGUGUGGUGGGGAAUCAGGACUGUUACUUUGAAAAAAUUAGAGUGUUUAAAGCAGGCUCACGCUUGAAUACAUUAGCAUGGAAUAAUGAAAUAGGACGUUGAUCCUAUUUUGUUGGUUUCUAGGAUUGACGUAAUGAUUAAUAGGGAUAGUUGGGGGCAUUAGUAUUCAAUUGUCAGAGGCGAAAUUCUUGGAUUUAUUGAAGACUAACUACUGCGAAAGCAUUUGCCAAGGAUGUUUUCAUUAAUCAAGAACGAAAGUUAGGGGAUCGAAGACGAUCAGAUACUGUCGUAGUCUUAACCAUAAACUAUGCCGACUUAGGGAAUCGGGAUUGAUUUUU
rnacentral:rRNA from 1 species